GUGCCAGCCGCCGCGGUAAUACGGAGGAUCCGAGCGUUAUCCGGAUUUAUUGGGUUUAAAGGGUGCGUAGGCGGCUUCAUAAGUCAGUGGUGAAAUUCGGCAGCUCAACUGUCGGCGUGCCUUUGAUACUGUGGAGCUUGAAUUUGGUCGAAGGAGGCGGAAUGGGACAAGUAGCGGUGAAAUGCAUAGAUAUGUCCCGGAACCCCAAUUGCGAAGGCAGCUUCCUAGGUCAUUAUUGACGCUGAUGCACGAAAGAGUGGGGAUCGAACAGGAUUAGAAACCCCUGUAGUCC
rnacentral:rRNA from 1 species